GUUUUUCUCCUUGUUCGUUCCGUCAAAGACGAGACGCUGUCCUACGUUGAACGAAGAAAAAGAUGAAGCGGAGAAGAAGAGGGCUAAAGACAAUCAUCAUUAAUCGUUCUGCUCGAUCUACCUAAACGAUAUCAAGGUGAGUUCAGACAAGAAAGUAUCGAAGAAGCUAGAUCUCUACGCUUGGAAUCACAGAAGAUACGUGUUGAUCAGACUUUGUUUUAUUCUUUCGUGACGUAAUGAUUUGAAAUUAUCAAUUUUGUUUUUAGGUGGAAUUUUCACGUCUAUUUAUCGUUGAUUCAUCUGAUUAUAUCAUUCGUUCUAUAUCAUUUAUAUCAUUCAUCCAAUCCAUAAAAAAAAA